rnacentral:lncRNA from 1 species
UGCUCCUUUGAUUCUUUGAGGAUUUGAGGAUUUGUUCUCCAAAACACCAAAAGUUUAAUGUCUCUAAGUCUCUUCACCAAGGAUGUAUCUUGUGAAGAUGAUAUGGAUGACUUAGGGAAGAAGAGAUUGCUAGAUGUCCUUCCCCUUAGUGGCCGGCCUCUUGGAAGAAAAAGAGAGAAAAUGUUUCACCCAAUUUCAUCAAGAAAACCCUAAAUGAAAAUAAAGCUAUAAAGUUGAAUUUAUACUUCAUUACAAGUGAGUGGCAAACUUGUAA